rnacentral:rRNA from 1 species
AUUGAACGCUGGCGGCAGGCCUAACACAUGCAAGUCGAGCGGGGUUUUCGGACCUAGCGGCGGACGGGUGAGUAAUGCGUAGGAAGCUACCCGAUAGAGGGGGAUACCAGUUGGAAACGACUGUUAAUACCGCAUAAUGUCUACGGACCAGAGUGUGGGACCUUCGGGCCACAUGCUAUCGGAUGCGCCUACGUGGGAUUAGCUAGUUGGUGGGGUAAUGGCUCACCAAGGCGAUGAUCCCUAGCUGGUUUGAGAGGAUGAUCAGCCACACUGGAACUGAGACACGGUCCAGACUCCUACGGGAGGCAGCAGUGGGGAAUAUUGGACAAUGGGCGCAAGCCUGAUCCAGCCAUGCCGCGUGUGUGAAGAAGGCCUUCGGGUUGUAAAGCACUUUCAGUAGGGAGGAAGGGUGUUGUGUUAAUAGCACAGCAUUUUGACGUUACCUACAGAAGAAGCACCGGCUAACUCUGUGCCAGCCGCCGCUGUAAUAC